UUUUAGCCCUGAUGGAAGCGGCACCCUUUUUUGAGGAACGAAAAAAAGAUUACCCCACAAAAUAAUAAUUUUGAUUUUGUGCUCGGUCAGUUCGCUUUGCUCGAGUUAGCGGACAGCAGGAAAUAGC
rnacentral:misc_RNA from 1 species